AGUGACGAUAGCCUAGGAGAUACACCUGUUCCCAUGCCGAACACAGUAGUUAAGCCCUAGAACGCCUGAUGUAGUUGGGGGUUGCCCCCUGUUAGAUACGGUAGUCGCUU
rnacentral:rRNA from 1 species